rnacentral:tRNA from 1 species
GAGGCUGUAGCUCAGCGGUAAAGUGCUUACCUCACAUGUGUGAGGCACUGGGUUUGAUUCUCAGCACCACA